rnacentral:lncRNA from 1 species
GUGAACAAACCUCCAGAGCCCUCUCGAAGAGACACCAAUUAUGAGGAAUGGUGGCAUUCGAUUCAUAAGGAACAUUUUCAAAAACCUCUGCUGCACAUCCUUUCGUUGCGGGGAAUGCGUGGAGACAGAGGACAAGGUUCACUUUAUCACACGCUGUGAGAAGGAGCAGUGACGGUGAACGUGCUGUCAUCCUGGAAAUCUCAAUCAGUAAAUUCUUGUUUGGAUUAAGGAUCUUCCAGGAUUUGGAUGGCUCGUUUUAUCUCUAUCAGAAAUAAGAUCUUCCACAUAACUAAUUUGGAGAAUCUUCAGAUUAGCAAGAUGGAACAUAAAUCAUCAUCUCAGAUAUUGGCGGCAGUUUGAUCAUACUGUUUAAAACCAAAGGACUUAGAAACAACGCAGAGAAGAUUUGUUCGUUCAUGGUUUUUAAAAACACUGUCUUAUUUUUAUUAAGCUAAGC